CCUACGGGAGGCAGCAGUAGGGAAUAUUGCUCAAUGGGGGAAACCCUGAAGCAGCAACGCCGCGUGGAGGAUGAAGGUUUUCGGAUUGUAAACCCCUUUUGGUAGAGAAGAUAAUGACGGUAUCUAACGAAUAAGCACCGGCUAACUCCGUGCCAGCAGCCGCGGUAAUACGGAGGGUGCAAGCGUUACUCGGAAUCACUGGGCGUAAAGAGAGCGUAGGCGGGGUAGCAAGUCAGAUGUGAAAUCCUAUGGCUCAACCAUAGAACUGCAGUUGAAACUGUUAUGCUAGAGUGUGGGAGAGGUAGGUGGAAUUCUUGGUGUAGGGGUAAAAUGCGUAGAGAUCAAGAGGAACACUGAUUGCGAAGGCGGCCUGCUGGACCAUAACUGACGCUGAUGCGCGAAAGCGUGGGGAGCAAACAGGAUUAGAUACCCCAGUAGUC
rnacentral:rRNA from 1 species